rnacentral:tRNA from 1 species
CAAGAAAUAGCUUAAAUUGAAAAGUAUUUUAGUUACAUUAAAAAGAUAUAAAAAAUUUUCUUGA